rfam:Beta vulgaris subsp. vulgaris Bvchr7.sca002.con0168.1, whole genome shotgun sequence.
GAAAGCCGUGUGCAAUGAAAAUCGCAAGCACUGUUUUGGGAGGUGUAUGGUAACACAUAUAUAUUUGAAAAACGAUAGUUAAUACUCCAU